rnacentral:rRNA from 1 species
AUGUACAUUCCUACAAAAUAGUGUUAAUGCAUUGAAUCCCAUUAGAACUCCGCAAUUAAGUGUGCUCAAGAUAGAAUAGUAAUGGGAUGAGUGACCACCUCAGAAGUCCUAGUAUUUUACAUG